CCCGAGCCGAACACGGCAUCGGCCGGGCCGGGGCGGAGCCUACAACGGAGACGCGACGCGACACGACACGGGAGGGGGAUUGGAAUCUCCCACCUCUGUGACAAAUGCUGCCACUCGAGAAUCCUGCUGUUUACCAGAACACAGGCACCAGAAAAUGCAAGCUACCAGGAAGUCUACUUUUCCAGAGAGGCAAGUACACAGUGUGUGUGUUUGAUACACCCUCUCCUCCUGAUUAAAUAUGUUCUGUCAGUAAAAGUUA